GACGAACGCUGGCGGCGUGCUUAACACAUGCAAGUCGAACGGUGAAGCGCCUUCCUUUUUGGUGGGUGUGGAUGGGUGGCGAACGGGUGAGUAACACGUGAGUAACCUGCCCCCUUCUUCUGGAUAACCGCAUGAAAGUGUGGCUAAUACGGGAUAUUCUGGGUCUGUCGCAUGAUGGGUCUGGGAAAGAUAUUGUUUCGGUGGGGGAUGGGCUCGCGGCCUAUCAGCUUGUUGGUGGGGUGAUGGCCUACCAAGGCGGUGACGGGUAGCCGGCCUGAGAGGGUGGACGGUCACACUGGGACGGAGACACGGCCCAGACUCCUACGGGAGGCAGCAGUGGGGAAUAUUGCACAAUGGGCGCAAGCCUGAUGCAGCGACGCCGCGUGAGGGAUGGAGGCCUUCGGGUUGUGAACCUCUUUCGCCAGUGAAGCAGGCCUGCCUCGUUUGUGGGUGGGUUGACGGUAGCUGGAUAAGAAGCGCCGGCUAACUACGU
rnacentral:rRNA from 1 species